GACGAACGCUGGCGGCGUGCUUAACACAUGCAAGUCGAACGGAAAGGCCCUGCUUUUGUGGGGUGCUCGAGUGGCGAACGGGUGAGUAACACGUGAGUAACCUGCCCUUUACUUUGGGAUAACUUCAGGAAACUGGGGCUAAUACCGGAUAGGAGCUCCUGCUGCAUGGUGGGGGUUGGAAAGUUUCGGCGGUUGGGGAUGGUCUCGCUGCUUAUCAGCUUGUUUGUGGGGUAGUGGCUUACCAAGGCUUUGACGGGUAGCCGGCCUGAGAGGGUGACCGGCCACAUUGGGACUGAGAUACGGCCCAGACUCAUACGGGAGGCAGCAGUGGGGAAUAUUGCACAAUGGGCGGAAGCCUGAUGCAGCAACGCCGCGUGCGGGAUGACGGCCUUCGGGUUGUAAACCGCUUUCGCCUGUGACGAAGCGUGAGUGACGGUAAUGGGUAAAGAAGCACCGGCUAACUACGUG
rnacentral:rRNA from 1 species